rnacentral:rRNA from 1 species
UACCAGCACCCCGAGUGGUCGGGACGUUUAUUGGGCCUAAAGCAUCCGUAGCCGGUUCUACAAGUCUUCCGUUAAAUCCAGCUGCUUAACAGAUGGGCUGCGGAAGAUACUAUGGAGCUAGGAGGCGGGAGAGGCAAGCGGUGACGUACGAUGGGUAGGGGUAAAAUCCGUUGAUCCAUUGAAGACCACCAGUGGCGAAGGCGGCUUGCCAGAACGCG